rnacentral:lncRNA from 1 species
UUGGAUUUGAUUUUAUUUUUGUGUGUUUGAGUUGUUUUUUUCUUUAGGUUAUGCACUGCUUCUGAUGGCAGUACUGGCAGUCUACUGAUGGAUGCUGAUGAAGAAGAAAAAGAUUAACAUCUACUGAAGGAUGUUGAUGAGAAAGAUUUGCAUCUACUGAUGGAUGCUGGAAUAGUUUUAGAGAGCAUCUACUGAUGGAUGCUGGAAGAGUUUGAGAGAACAUCUACUGAUGGAUGUUAGGUGAUUAGACAUCUACUGAUGGAUGUCAAUGAAGAUGAGAAAGAUUGNUGUCUACUGAGGGAUACCAAUGAAGACAAGAAGAAUUAGCAUCUACUGAUGGAUGCUAUGUGAUUAGACAUCUACUGAUGGAUGUUACUAACAACAUCUACUGAUGGAUGCUAUGAUGAUGAACUUAUUGGGUCAAGCUAAUGACGUUAAAGAAGCGCUUGCUGGG